AAAGCAGGCUGCAAUUACAGUGCUUCAUUCUGUGGGAGUGCUGAGAGUAACUCUGUUAAUGCCGUCUUUGGUUUCACCUAUACGGUGGUGAAACCGUUUGUUCUUAACAUGUACAAGU
rnacentral:snoRNA from 1 species